AAACGACUCUCGGCAACGGAUAUCUCGGCUCACGCAUCGAUGAAGAACGUAGCAAAAUGCGAUACUUGGUGUGAAUUGCAGAAUCCCGUGAACCAUCGAGUUUUUGAACGCAAGUUGCGCCCGAAGCCGUUUGGUCGAGGGCGCGUCUGCCUGGGCGUCACGC
rnacentral:rRNA from 4 species